GCCCACGUAGCUCAGUGGUAGAGCACUCCCUUGGUAAGGGAGAGGUCGAGUGUUCAAUCCACUCCGUGGGCACCA
rnacentral:tRNA from 3 species